CCUACGGGAGGCACCAGUGGGGAAUAUUGCACAAUGGGCGCAAGCCUGAUGCAGCGACGCCGCGUGAGGGAUGACGGCCUUCGGGUUGUAAACCUCUUUCAGCAGGGACGAAGCGAAAGUGACGGUACCUGCAGAAGAAGCACCGGCCAACUACGUGCCAGCAGCCGCGGUAAUACGUAGGGUGCAAGCGUUGUCCGGAAUUAUUGGGCGUAAAGAGCUCGUAGGCGGCUUGUCGCGUCGGCUGUGAAAACCUGGGGCUCAACCCCGGGCCUGCAGCCGAUACGGGCAAGCUAGAAUUCGGUAGGGGAGACUGGAAUUCCUGGUGUAGCGGUGAAAUGCGCAGAUAUCAGGAGGAACACCGGUGGCGAAGGCGGGUCUCUGGGCCGAUAUUGACGCUGAGGAGCGAAAGCGUGGGGAGCGAACAGGAUUAGAUACCCGGGUAGUC
rnacentral:rRNA from 1 species